rnacentral:rRNA from 1 species
UACGUAGGGUGCAGGCGUUUAAUCGGAAUUACUGGGCGUAAAGCGUGCGCAGGCGGUUUUGUAAGUUUGUCGUGAAAUCCCCGGGCUCAACCUGGGAAUGGCGAUGAAGACUGCAAGGCUAGAAUCUGGCAGAGGGGGGUAGAAUUCCACGUGUGAGCAGUGAAAUGCGUAGAGAUGUGGAGGAGCACCGAUGGCGAAGGCAGCCCCCUGGGUCAAGAUUGACGCUCAUGCACGAAAGCGUGGGGAGCAAACAGG